rnacentral:tRNA from 1 species
ACAUACUUGACUCAGCGGUUAGAGUAUCUCUUUUAUAUGGCUAGAGUCAUUGGUUCAAAUCCAAUAGUAGGUA